GCUUACGGCCAUACCACCCUGAGCACGCCCGACCUUCGUCUGAUCUCGGAAGCUAAGCAGGCUGGGCUUGGUUAGUACUUGGAUGGGAGACUGCCUGGGAAUACCUGUGCUGUAAGCC
rnacentral:rRNA from 1 species